CAGUCGCCGCGGUAAUACGAAGGGGGCUAGCGUUGUUCGGAAUUACUGGGCGUAAAGCGCACGUAGGCGGAUAUUUAAGUCAGGGGUGAAAUCCCAGAGCUCAACUCUGGAACUGCCUUUGAUACUGGGUAUCUUGAGUAUGGAAGGGGUGAGUGGAAUUCCGAGUGUAGAGGUGAAAUUCGUAGAUAUUCGGAGGAACACCAGUGGCGAAGGCGGCUCACUGGUCCAUUACUGACGCUGAGGUGCGAAAGCGUGGGGAGCAAACAGGAUUAGAUACCCGAGUAGUCCCUGUCUCUUAUAC
rnacentral:rRNA from 1 species